GUUAGGUACAGAGCUGGGGAAGAGCAUGACGUGUUUGGAGCAAGAUCUGAGUGGCAGGGACGAGUGCACAAAGGGCAAGGUGGGACAAGAUCACCCUUGCUGCUGCACAGAGAAUGGAUUGGAAGCAGAGAGAGCAGGGAAAUAAAGAGAAAGACAAAGAAAGAGUCGUGUGACUAUGAUGAAAAGAGAAAGAUGUGGAGAGACUAAGACGGCCAGGGAUGAGAAGACAGGGCCCAGCGUGAGGAUGAUGGAAGAUGGCGAGGGAAGAACAGGGACGCGUUGCUGCCCCCCCCCACCACCACCGCUGGAUCUACUUGGCACGCUGCAGAACUUUUCCAUGCUUCUGUUUCCUCUUCUGUAAAAAUAUCCGCCUUUCAGGAUUAUUAUAAGGAUUAAAUUAAAUAACAACCUCAUCCAGAUCCUGGUGAUUUUCUACACCGCUCCUUGACUCGCUUUGCUCAGAUCC